GAGAUGGACAUGGAGACGAAGCUGAGCAAUUUUCUCUCAAUGACACCAAUGAUAAGGAAUAAUGCACUCAUAAUUGGAAGAAACGUAGAAUGUCGAUGGGCUUAUAAUAUAUGUCAGCGAUGUUCCUGUUCGUCUAUCCCAAGAUUUCUGUGUUCUCAGAUCUUGUAAAUCUUGGACCGUGCUUGCAACGAUCUUGCGAACGAUUCAUGUUACUCGGCUAGGCGUACCAUCCCUUGUCGCAUUUACAAGGUAAAUAAACUGUGUAGCUGUAGCUGUGUAGCUU